UACGUAGGGUGCGAGCGUUGUCCGGAAUUAUUGGGCGUAAAGGGCUCGUAGGCGGUUUGUCGCGUCGGGAGUGAAAACCCAGGGCUUAACCCUGGGCCUGCUUCCGAUACGGGCAGACUAGAGGUAUGCAGGGGAGAACGGAAUUCCUGGUGUAGCGGUGAAAUGCGCAGAUAUCUGGAGGAACACCGGUGGCGAAGGCGGCAUCCUGGACCAUUAUUGACGCUGAGGAGCGAAAGCCAGGGGAGCAAACGGG
rnacentral:rRNA from 1 species